AGCUGGUUAAGAAUUGGUGUGAGUCCUGCCUUUUUUCUUUACCUGCCCUGCAGGACUUCAUCUCUCUCACUUCCUGCGGAGGGUGUAACUGCAAGAUGGAAAAGAGCCCCCUGACCCUUGUCGGAUUUUUACCCGGGAAGACCUCCGCCCCAGAAACCACCACCAUCAAGUAAAAAGUCUCCCAAUGUGCCUUCUCUUCUGCUGUGAGAACUUCAGUGGGAAAGUUUGAAGAGAUCUGUCUUCGGGAAGUAAUUCACCAGAAGCCGAAGCCACUAGAAAAUACAACUCAGAGACUGUGCUCUAUUUGCAAAUGGAGUUCCUCUUCAGCAUUUUUAGAAGAUAUAAAACGGGAAAGCCCGGGAGGCUCCGUCGGUUGAGCAUCUGAUUUUCGCUCAGGUCAUGAUCUCGCAGUUCCUGAGUUCGAGCCCCACAUCGGGCUCGCUGCUGUCGGCAAGGAGCCCGCUUUGGAUCCUCUGUCCCCUCGCUCUCCACCCCUCCCCCACUUGCGCUCUCUUUCAAAAAUAAACAUUAAAGAAAAAAAAGAUGUAAGACUGUAACCACAGUUUAUGUAACCAGCUCUCUAGUGAGGGACGUUUGGGUUGUGUGUUACACAAAGCUGCAGUGAACUUCCUUCUCCAUCUGUCUCGACCUUCUUUUGUGGCUGCUUGCACAGAGGGGACUCCUAGCAGUGGGGUCGCUGGGUCAAG